AGAUCAGUGGCAUAAAAUACAUUGUUGUACCACCACCACCACCACCAUCAAUCUCCAGAUCUCUUUUCAGAUUCUCUCCAUCCCCUAGGAACAAAUGAGUUUCUGUCUCCAUGAAUUUGACUACUCUAGAUACCUAGUAUUAUUCUCUCCAACCAGGUCAGCCUCCUCUUCAUUCCAAGAACACAUGAUACCCCUGCAGCAAGUGCACCACAGACCAUGAGAUCAUUCAAAGAGCUCUACAAGUCCUAAGACUAUAAUGAAAACUGCUUCCACAGUAUGUGGAUAUUCCACAAUAUGUGAGAACUGAAGUAUACUCUGUUGAAGGAGGAAGGACCCCUUUGAUAUAAAUGUCAUUUUGAGAAAGCCAAAGGACCUACAACUUAAAGCCAAGGAGAGACCUUCAGGACAAGCUAUAGGAGUUGAGUGAGGAAGAAUAAAUAAAACUUUGC